UUAACUAUUAUAUAGUACUCAGACAACACUAUAAUUCAGAGUUUUGGGUCCUCUGGCGGGCACUCACCAGCCGAAGCCGGCAGCCUAGGCGGCCCGCCAAAGCAACAAAAGUAUAAUACUCAAGGGUGGGAGAUCUACCCGUUAGGGCAUGAACUCUGUAAUGAUCCUUCCGCAGGUUCACCUACGGAAA
rnacentral:misc_RNA from 1 species